rnacentral:rRNA from 1 species
CUGGCUCAGAACGAACGCUGGCGGCGCGUUUAAGCAUGCAAGUCGAGCGGCAAGGGCCUUCGGGCCCCUAGAGCGGCGGACGGGUGAGUAACACGUGGACAAUCUGCCCCCCGGCCCGGGAUAGCCCAGGGAAACCUGGAUUAAUACCGGAUGAGACGGGACCCGCGAUGGCGGGACCCGGGAAAGGCGCUGCGGCGCCGCCGGGGGAUGAGUCUGCGUCCCAUUAGCUAGACGGCGGGGUAACGGCCCACCGUGGCGACGAUGGGUAGCCGGCCUGAGAGGGUGGACGGCCACAUUGGAACUGAGACACGGUCCAGACUCCUACGGGAGGCAGCAGCUAAGAAUCUUCCGCAAUGGGCGAAAGCCUGACGGAGGCCGACGCCGCGUGAACGAAGAAGGCCGUGAGGUUGUAAAGUUCUUUUCGGGAGGGGGAACAACCGUGGCAGGGAAUGGCCGCGGGAUGACGUGAAUCCCGGAAUAAGCCCCGGCUAACUACGUGCCAGCCGCCGC